AUCUCAGUAGCUGGAGGAAAGGACAUCAACCGAGACUCCCCUAGUAGUGACGAGCGAACGGGGACCAGGCGAUCGGUGUGUACGAAGUGGAAGGUUCUGGAAAGGACCGCCAUAGAGGGUGACAGCCCCGUACACGUAGGAAGCACCGACACAUUAAGUAGGGCGGGACACGUGUUAUCCUGUCUGAAGAUGGGGGGACCACCCUCCAAGCC
rnacentral:rRNA from 14 species